rnacentral:piRNA from 1 species
UGAAGGAAAACGGAACGGUGCU